UACGGAAGGCAGCAGUGGGGAAUAUUGCACAAUGGGCGCAAGCCUGAUGCAGCCAUGCCGCGUGUAUGAAGAAGGCCUUCGGGUUGUAAAGUACUUUCAGUCGUGAGGAAGGUGUUAAGGUUAAUAACCUUAGCAAUUGACGUUAGCGACAGAAGAAGCACCGGCUAACUCCGUGCCAGCAGCCGCGGUAAUACGGAGGGUGCGAGCGUUAAUCGGAAUUACUGGGCGUAAAGGGCACGCAGGCGGUUAAUUAAGUUGGAUGUGAAAUCCCCGGGCUUAACCUGGGAAUGGCAUUCAAGCUGGUUAGCUAGAGUCUUGUAGAGGGGGUAGAAUUCCAUGUGUAGCGGUGAAAUGCGUAGAGAUGUGGAGGAAUACCGGUGGCGAAGGCGGCCCCUGGACAAAGACUGGCGCUCAUGUGCGAAAGCGUGGGGAGCAAACAGGGAUUAGAUACC
rnacentral:rRNA from 1 species